AGCAAAAGCGUACUGUCUUUGGUCUCCCCCGUGCCUUUGUUCUGCAGUUUGUUCUCGCAGUACAGGAGAAGAGUGCAGAUAAAUCAUUCAUUUGUGAUUCCAAGAGAACACAAGAAUCCGUGAAAUGAAGAAGGACUGAGAAAAAUGUUUGCUGAGUACUUGUGGUGAUGUCCUGAGCUCACCACCACCACCACCACCACCAUGGAGGCAGGUCUACUCAUCACCACUUAAGGAAGAAGCUGAGUUUGAAGGAGUGUCGUGUCACCUUCACCUCUCUGGAGUGUUUGUCUGUGGUGAUGAGCACGCUGACCCUCAGGUGGCAGGGCUCCAGCUUCCACUCUCCUGCUGCCCACUGGAAUUCAAAGGUCUUUUUCUGCUCCUGGUGUUGAAAGGGAUGAAUUGUACCAAAGUCAACAGAACCUUAAUUCCACUGCAGGGUGAGAGUCCGCUGGUGACACCGUACAGAACAAACCUGGUGUCAUCAAGAACUGCCUCACAAAAGCUCCAUCUCAGUUCACCAUUUAUCAUGUCAGCUGCACCAGUCACCCCUUGGCAGUCUGCUUGGAGAAACCACUUCACCUCUUGGCCGUGAGGAGGCACCGCGGGGAGGGAAGAAAUUGAAGUCUGGAUCUAAUAAUUGAGGUAAACACACCUAGAACAAACAAAGGCAGAUCUGUCAGGGCUGUUACUAAACACCUGAUUGUAAUUGUGACUCUAGUAAUAGUGAUGUACACACACACACACACACACACACACACACACACACACACACACACACACACACACACACACACACACACACACACACACACACACACACACACACACACACACACACACACACACACACACUAUUGAGUUCCUCUUUUUAAGGUUCUAAGGGAAUCAAUUCUGGAAAGACUUACCAAUUCAAAGCAAACAAGAAUUCACAUUACCUGACCAAGACAAGACCAGGACCUGACAGUCACUUGCCACAUUAACAGUAAAUAAAUUAUGUGUCCAUGUUUUUCAAGUAAUUUAUCAACCCUUCAGUUCUUGUCCUGCCCUUGUUAAUGAUCUCUGAGGUUACCCUUGUUAAGUUCAUUAGCCUGGUGCUCUCAGCUUUUCAGAAAACUAUUUUUUAUAUAGAUUCUGAUGUGUUGUCUUGGUUAUGUAGCACCAGUGUGGGAAAGCUUAUAUAUGAAAGCUUAUUAUAUGAAAACAAUACAGCUGGAGUCUUGUUUCUCCUUGAAGCUUCCCUCAAAACUCCACUAACUACUACUACUACUACUACUACUACUACUACUACUACUACUACUACUACUACUACUACUACUA